UAUGUCUGUCUCUUCUGUUCGCCUGCCACUUCACCAAUGAAGCGGCUCAGCUCGUUCAGGGCAGCAGACUUAUCAAAUACAACAUGGAGAAGAAGAUGGCCAAGUGAUGAAUGUGCACAGCGGUCACGGUCAUGCUUUGGAGGAGACCCACGAAUCUGUAUUGCAACAUCUGAUCUGUUCUAACACAAUAAAUAAUCAUUCAUAUACAUAGAUGAUUGGUUUUAUGCUAUUUUUCUCUGUUACACAUAUAACAUUUCAAGCCUUACAACACAGCCUCGAAGGUUAGAGUUUGUAAGUAAUGCAGAAAUAUUUGAUUAAUUUAUUUCCAUACAUAAUGCGAUCAGUGUGU